GCCUUCGUGGUGUAGUGGUCAGCACGCUGGGCGCGUAUUCCAGAGGUCCGUGGUUCAAGUCCUGGUGAGGGCA
rnacentral:tRNA from 1 species